rnacentral:rRNA from 1 species
GACGAACGCUGGCGGCGUGCCUAAUACAUGCAAGUCGAACGAGAGCGACCGGUGCUUGCACUGGUCAAUCUAGUGGCGAACGGGUGAGUAACACGUGGGUAACCUGCCCAUCAGAGGGGGAUAACAUCCGGAAACGGAUGCUAAAACCGCAUAGGUCUUCGAACCGCAUGAUUUGAAGAGGAAAAGAGGCGCAAGCUUCUGCUGAUGGAUGGACCCGCGGUGCAUUAGCUAGUUGGUGAGGUAACGGCUCACCAAGGCCGUGAUGCAUAGCCGACCUGAGAGGGUGAUCGGCCACAUUGGGACUGAGACACGGCCCAAACUCCUACGGGAGGCAGCAGUAGGGAAUCUUCCGCAAUGGACGCAAGUCUGACGGAGCAACGCCGCGUGAGUGAAGAAGGUUUUCGGAUCGUAAAACCCUGUUGUUAGAGAAGAACAAGUGCUAGAGUAACUGUUAGCGCCUUGACGGUAUCUAACCAGAAAGCCACGGCUAACUACGUG